UUGAAAUAAUUUUCUUCACGGCUUUAUCAAUAUCCCGAUGAAGUGAACAAAAGAAGACCACAGUAUUUUCUCUUAGACACAUGACUAUUAAUUGCCAAUGUUGCCUGUACAUGUGUAUGGAAAUACAAAAGUCACAUAAAAUAUCUAUGUUAUCAAAAUUAAAAAAUAGAAAACAGAAUUUCAUAAAAACUUACCCAUGAAUAAGUGGUAGUAAGUGACAAACUCUGUUUUUCAGCAUUAACUUAUCUUGUACAUAUUUUUUAACAACUGUUAUAGAUUUCGGCACAUCAUCAUAAUACAUACACAUACCAGGGUCCAUAAAUCCAUACACUUCUGAUGUGGAAUUAUCAAUACAUACACGAUGAAUAUACCUGAAUAAUUUUAAAAUAAACAUUAGAUUCGAAGUGAUGAGAGAUAUAACCUAUUAAUAGAUAUUGAAAGUAAUAAAAAAAGAAAAUGUACUUACGUGCACCAAACUUGCAUAGUAGACACGUCAAGCCAGUGAAAAUCCAUCAACAACUCUCUGAUACAUUUAGCUGACAUAUAAAAAUUAAUGGCAGAUUUACAAUGACUUAAAUCCAUUUCCAAGUGUUGGCCAGCCAUUUUCACAACCAUGAGUAACAAUCUCUGAACAUCGUCAACUUCCACAUCUUUUGUGUUUCCUUUUGCAGUUGAACAACUUCCUUUUCCGCUUUCUUCAACUACUUCCAUUUUUUCAAUGCAUUUAGUAUUAUCUGUGCUUUGCGACAAACCCAUAGACUUAAGUGUCUCCAUAAAAGAUUGUUCCAACGCCUUACGCUUUUCAACCAACUUUUGAUCAAAAUCAACUCUAAGUCUUGCUUUCAAUUUUGAUGAAAGUUGUUCAAGUUGUUCAUUUACAUCUAUAUGUUGUCCUUGACGUGAAGACGACCUUCCAAAGUAAGUGAUUUGUUUAUGGUGCUUUCCAACACUACGAACACGGCCGCCAUGCUCAGAUGUUCCAAUGGCUGCUGUUAAGAUAUCGUUACGUCCAUGUGGAACAAAGACACCUUUUUCAGCUUCUUCAACUAGAGAAUCUUACAAAAUGCAAAAACCACCACUAAAUUCAAUAGUUUUUAAAUAAUCACAAAUAUAAUGAUACUUGAAGUAAUUUUCAAGUUUUAUUGACAAUUUUCUCCGCAACAGCUUGUGUAGACUUUGAUGUGUAUUCUCCUCCUUUCUUUUAUCGUGCUCUCUUCCAUAACUCAUGGUGUGACGGUGGAGAUGGACUACCAUUAUCAUCUAAUGUAGAAUCAUCUCUUGAUGAUAUCCUUUCAUUUUUAAUUGUCUCCUCGAGCAAGCGAUACCCUCCACGAGAUAAUACAUGUGGGUAUACAUUCCUAGCCACAUUUUCCCUACCCUUUCGACUUUCUUCCUAUUAAUUAUAAAAUCACACAGUUAUCACUAAACAUAAUAAAAAUGUUAUUAGAAAAAAAUCAAAUAUAACUCCUACUAACCUUAAAUGCAGGGGUAUCUUGAGACAUCAGAAACUCUCUUCAUACUUCUUUUUUAAUAAAAUUAUACCUGACAUGUGCAAGAGCGAGAUCUUUUUUGGGAUUAUUAACAUAUUCGUCUAUGAGUUGUGUAUUUUUUGGAUAGCCAUAGAAGGAAAAAGUGCUACAAUAAACAAUACAAUUUUAUUCUUAUUUUUCCUUGUGUGUGUGACUCAUGUCGUCGUACUCUCAUUAUUAGAUGCCUAUUUUUGUUUAUACAAGGAUCCGUUGAAGAAGGAAUGGAUUAAAUAUGCGGGAGAGAGAUGGAGAGGUUUUAAGACACAACUCACACACGAAUAUGUUAAUAAUCCCAAAAAAGAUCUCGCUCCUGCACAUGUCAGAUAUAAUUUUAUUAAAAAAGAAGUAUGGGAACAGUUUCUGAAGUCUCGAGAUAUCCCCGCAUUUAAGGAAAAAAAUCGAAAGGGUAGGGAAAAUGUGGUUAGGAAUGUAUACCCUCAUGUAUUAUCUCGUGGAGGGUAUCGCUUGCUCGAGGAGACAAUUAAAAAUGAAAGGAUAUCAUCAAGAGAUGAUUCUACAUUAGAUGAUAAUGGUAACCCAUCUCCACCGUCACGCCAUGAUUUAUGGAAGAGAGCACGACAAUAGAAAGGAGGAGAAUACACAUCAAAGUCUACACAAGCUGUUCGGGAGAAAAUUGUCAGUAAAACUUGAAAAUUACUUCAAGUAUUUAAAAACUAUUGAAUUUAGUUGUGGUUUUUGCACUUUGUAGGAUUCUCUAGUUGAAGAAGUUGAAAAAGGUGUCUUUGUUCCACAUGGACGUAACAAUAUCUUAACAGCAACCAUUGGAACAUCUGAGCAUGGCCGUCGUGUUUGUGGUGUUGGAAAGCACCAUAAACAAAGCACUUACUUUGGAAGGUCGUCUUCACCUCAAGGAUAACAUAUAGAUGUAAAUGAACAACUUAUACAACUUUCAUCAAAAUUGGAAGCAAGACUUAGAGCUGAUUUUGAUCAAAAGUUGGUUGAAGAGCGUAAGGCGUUGGAACAAUCUUUUAUGGAGACACUUAAGUCUAUGGGUUUGUCGCAAAGCAAAGAUAAUACUAAAUGCAUUGAAAAAAUGGAAGUAGUUGAAGGAAGCGGAAAAGGAAGUUGUUCAUCUGCAAAAGAAAGCACAAAAGAUGCGGAAGAUGUUCAGAGAUUGUUACUCAUGGUUGUGAAAAUGGCUGACCAACACUUGGAAAUGGAUUUAAGUCAUUGUAAAUCUGCCACUAAUUUUUUUAUGUCAGCUAAGUGUAUCAGAGAUUUGUUGAUGGGUUUUCAUUGGCUUGACGUGUCUACUUUGCAAGUUUGGUGCACGUAAGUACAUUUUUUUAUUACUUUCAAUAUCUAUUAAUAGGUUAUAUCUCUCAUCACUUUGAAUCUAAUAUUUAUUUUAAAAUUAUUCAGGUAUAUUCAUCGUGUAUGUAUUGAUAAUAGUGUAUAGAUUUAUGGACCCUGCUAUAUGUAUGUAUUAUGAUGAUGUGCUGAAAUCUAUAACAGUUGUUAAAAAAUACGUACAAGAUAAGUUAAUGUUGGAAAGCAGAGUUUGCCACUUACUACCACUUAUUCAUGGGUAAGUUUUUAUGAAAUUCUGUUUUCUAUUUUUUAAUUUUGAUAACAUAGAUAUUUUAUGUGAUUUUUGUAUUUUCAUACACAUGUACAGACAACAUUGACAAUUAAUAGUCAUGUGUCCAAGAGACAAUACUGUGGUUUUCUUUUGUUCACUUCAUCGGGAUAUUGAUAAAGCCGUGAAGAAAAUUAUUUCAACAUAAGUUUAUCUUUUAUGUGAAUUUUGUUAUAAUAUAUUAUAUAUCAUAUAUAUACAUAAAUUGUUACAAAAGUAAUUUCAUAUUUUAUGUGGCUUUAUAUGAUUUUUUUUUGAAUUAGUGCUUUUGAGGUUCAACAAUUUGCAAAUGGCAAUAGAAAAAAGGCUAUUACAUGGCUUAGGCCCAAUGUAAGUGUGAUUAAAUUUUAAUUUUAUGAUAAUUAUUCACCAAUUAUGUCUUUUAUUUGUCGAUAAGGAAACAACAUACCUCUAAUGAUUUGUGGAUACUAUGUGAUGAAAAAUAUGUUGGAUAUUGUCUCUGACAAUAUAACUGAAUCUUGGAUACAGGUAUUUAAUGAUCCUACAGAAUUAACACAAGAAAAUUUGUAUGAUUUGCGACUCCGUUGGGCAAAAUGUUUCUUUGAGUUAUAUAAAGAAUAACUUUAUGUUUCUCGUGGAUGCAUGUUGGUUUUUCAAGUGCGCGAAAGGACUUAAAUGGUUGGAUAUUUGGUAUGUUAUUAUUUUGUAGUAGUAAACCGUGUAUAAACCUUUCUUAUCAUUUUGUACACUUGUGUAUCCUAGAUU